rnacentral:rRNA from 1 species
ACGAACGCUGGCGGCAUGCUUCCACAUGCAAGGCGGACGAGACCUUCGGGGCUUGUGGCGCCCGGGUGCGUAACGCGUGGGAACCUGCCCUUAGGUUCGGAAUAACUUCCCGAAAGGGGGGCUAAUACCGGAUAAUGUCUUCGGACCAAAGAUUUAUCGCCUUUGGAUGGGCCCGCGUUGGAUUAGCUAGUUGGUAGGGUAAAAGCCUACCAAGGCGACGAUCCAUAGCUGGUCUGAGAGGAUGAUCAGCCACACUGGGACUGAGACACGGCCCAGACUCCUACGGGAGGCAGCAGUGGGGAAUAUUGGACAAUGGGCGAAAGCCUGAUCCAGCAAUGCCGCGUGAGUGAUGAAGGCCUUAGGGUUGUAAAGCUCUUUUACCCGGGAUGAUAAUGACAGUACCGGGAGAAUAAGCUCCGGCUAACUCCGUG